GGCAGAUUAAAAUGGAGAGGCACAAAAGAAAUCACAUGAGCUAGGAAGAACAAUCAGGUGUGGAGACUGAGCUGGGAGCCAUAUAGACAACAAAUCUCUGAUCUGAUAUCCAAGCAUUCCCUGAGUGGGGAAUACAGUUAUUUUGGCAAGCUACAGCCUAAAGAAGAGAAUCUUACUUGAAUUUGGAACAAAGCUACAGUCAGUCAUCAAGGGAGAAAAAGCAAAUGAAAUGAAAAACUUUGUGUUUGAAAAGAGGAAAAAACUGGACCAGUGGAUAUUGUUCUAUUCCCUUCCCAUCUGGCCACUUAAAAGGCUUCAGAAAGGCCAUUGGACCAACUCAGAGGAUAUUAACACAAGAUAAUUCUGU